rnacentral:rRNA from 1 species
UGGGGAAUAUUGCACAAUGGGGGAAACCCUGAUGCAGCGACGCCGCGUGAACGAAGAAGGUAUUCGUAUCGUAAAGUUCUGUCCUAUGGGAAGAUAAUGACAGUACCAUAGAAGAAAGCUCCGGCUAAAUACGUGCCAGCAGCCGCGGUAAUACGUAGGUGGCAAGCGUUGUCCGGAUUUAUUGGGCGUAAAGCGAGCGCAGGCGAUCAAUUAAGUCUGAUGUGAAAGCCCCCGGCUCAACCGGGGAGGGUCAUUGGAAACUGGUUGACUUGAGUGCGGAAGAGGAGAGUGGAAUUCCAUGUGUAGCGGUGAAAUGCGUAGAUAUAUGGAGGAACACCAGUGGCGAAGGCGACUCUCUGGUCUGUAACUGACGCUGAGGCUCGAAAGCGUGGGUAGCAAACAGG